GUUGCAUUGGUGUGAAGAUUGGCUUCUAGGAAUUGGUCUGUAAGCCCAGCUCUGUGAACAAGUGUAUCAUGUCCUUGGUGGCUUGACAAGCCUCCAGAAGCAACUGGACUCUGAGGAGACAAUCGUCCAGCACAGACUAUGCGGGAUGUGCAGCAUUGCUGGCCUGUGUCGUCACACACUCCUGUGUUCCGUUGCAUGCGCAAGCCCGCUUUGCUUAACAAAGCUGCAGUGAGCUGGAGUUGAACCAUGCAAGCUGUGAAUUCCUUGGCGCAAGGAGACCCUCUGCUCCGAAAGGGGCCGAUUCUGCCACAUUUUCUCUGGCUGAGUAGCACCCGACUGCGCAAACAGUUCCCUGGAAGCCAAAGGGGCCGCUCGUGGAGUAAACCGUUACUCAAGUAAGGGUAUCUGAGUCUGGCCAAAGGUGGCAGAAUCGAGCCCAAAGUAAGCUCCUUCCAAGGACCUGUGUCAAUCAGCUAUUCACAUCACCUCAUUGUGUUCUUUUUCUGCCCUAUCUUUAAAUAUUCCAGAUCAGCUGAUUUUGCUACAAGAAAGCUGCCCACCCUGUGAUGUGCUGAACACCCUCAAAUUUCCAUGGCAAACAUGGGAGCUGGGUCUGCUUGGCACCUUGCUGGAGUGGGCCCUGACUGUGGGAGUAUUGCCACUGCAAGCAAACUGGGGAGCAAAAUGACUAA